rnacentral:rRNA from 1 species
UGGGGAAUAUUGCACAAUGGGCGGAAGCCUGAUGCAGCAACGCCGCGUGCGGGAUGACGGCCUUCGGGUUGUAAACCGCUUUCGCCUGUGACGAAGCGUGAGUGACGGUAAUGGGUAAAGAAGCACCGGCUAACUACGUGCCAGCAGCCGCGGUGAUACGUAGGGUGCGAGCGUUGUCCGGAUUUAUUGGGCGUAAAGGGCUCGUAGGUGGUUGAUCGCGUCGGAAGUGUAAUCUUGGGGCUUAACCCUGAGCGUGCUUUCGAUACGGGUUGACUUGAGGAAGGUAGGGGAGAAUGGAAUUCCUGGUGGAGCGGUGGAAUGCGCAGAUAUCAGGAGGAACACCAGUGGCGAAGGCGGUUCUCUGGGCCUUUCCUGACGCUGAGGAGCGAAAGCGUGGGGAGCGAACAGGCUUAGAUACCCUGGUAGUCCACGCUGUAAACGGUGGGUACUAGGUGUGGGGGUCCAUUCCACGGGUUCCGUGCCGUAGCUAACGCUUUAAGUACCCCGCCUGGGGAGUACGGCCGCAAGGCUAAAACUUAAAGGAAUUGACGGGGUCAUAGCUGUUUCCU